GACGAACGCUGGCGGCGUGCCUAAUACAUGCAAGUCGAACGCAGUGGGGACGGGUGGGUAACACGUGGGUAACCUCCCAUCAGAGGGGAUAACGCUUGGAAACAGGUGCUAAACCGAUACUGAUGGAUGGACCCGCGGGGCAUUAGCUAGUUGGUGAGGUAACGGCUCACCAAGGCCACGAUCCAUAGCUGACCUGAGAGGGUGAUCGGCCACACUGGGACUGAGACACGGCCCAGACUCCUACGGGAGGCAGCAGUAGGGAAUCUUCGGCAAUGGACGAAAGUCUGACCGAGCCACGCCGCGUGUGUGAAGAAGGUCUUCGGAUUGUAAAGCUCUGUUGGUAGAGAAGCGGUAUCUAACCAGAAAGCCACGGCUAACUACGUGCCAGCAGCCGCGGUAAUAC
rnacentral:rRNA from 1 species